GAGAAUUAACAAUCAAGCUACACAGAAGAACUCUUGGAAAGAGACGGCUAUUUAGUAAAGUGGGACUUGAGACAGAGCAGAGAUCUUCAACAGGUCACUGGACUCUUAGAUCAGACGGACAACCAGCAUCCGUUCAUACAAGGCCUCCAUUUGAAUCUACUAUUAGGAUUAAUGGACACGUCACCAAAGGACAAUUGGAAGACUGACAGACAACACAAAGGACUAAAGGACAAGUGACAAUCUUAUUAACGGUGUCUGUUAAAAGCUCCGACUGUAAUCUAAUUUCUUUCCUUACGACCUGUUUCUAUUCCAGCCAUCAUCUGGGUGAAGGCUACACCCUGGACAGUGUCCAUCACAGGGACACAUUUACAGAAGGAACAACAAGCGUUCACACUAACACCAUCUAUUAUUGGACUCAAACAGUUGGCCCUUCAGAGGACAUUGAAAAGCAGCAGAUUUCAUCCUUUUGUUGGUCAUACUGUCACUGCAAACAAUCUGCUGAUGUCUGUCACUAAUGCUCCUGUCUGUCACUGCACAGUCCUUUGUUGUUUUUGUGACUUGUCCUGUCUGUCUUGUCCACUUCCUGCCACCUGUCCCUGUCCUGCUUUGUUUUUCCCCUCCUCUGUGAUUCCCUCCUCCUCACUGAUGUGCUCCACCUGUGUCUCGUCAGCAUUCCCGCCUUAAUUGCCUUCAUAAUCGUUCCCUCCUUCGGUGCCAUUUUGUCCUUGCCAGCCUCCUUGGUCAGGUCACUUUACCAGUGUUUACUGGUGUUAGACCUGUUUUGUCCUGACUCUGUCUUUUUCUAGUCCUGUCCUGAAUCCUACCCGACCAGAAUUUUGAAUCGAAGACAAACAUCUGUUCAACCACUCUGAUAGUGAUCAUUUAAAGGUCCCAGAGACACAACAAAGUCAACACAGGCAAGUCCAGGCAAGUCCACACCCACAGACCCUUUGAACAGCUAUAGAGAAAUAGUUCCAGUGCCACAGCACCACACAGUGGCCACAUUCAGUCAGAAACAAUUGUGCACACUUUCUGCACUGCUAUGCAAAUAUUUAAAUGAGUACAGGAUACUUUUUCAUUUCCUAAUAUUUAAGACACAGGUCUGACAAGUAUGAAAAUAGUACUUGGUUCUUGUUCUUGACAGUACACAGCACUAUUUCAUUGUAAUAUGCCCAGCAGACCAGGUCUGAAGACCGCCCCACGUUAUUGAUUAGAGUCUACAGACCAGAGCUUCGCUGGAGUGCAUCAAGUUUCUUUUUGUCUGCGUCUGACCUGAGCAAAAACACCAGGUUUUCUGGUUUGAGGUCUCGGUGGACAAUGCUCUUGGAGUGGAUGUAGUGCAGUGCGUCACUCAUGUCGGACACCAUCAGUCCCGCCUCCGCCUCGGAAAACUUCCCCCUCUCACUGAUGGCCUCAAACAGAUCUCCUCCGCUCACCAGCUCCAUCACCAGGGAGAAACAUUGAGCCUAACCUCUCGUGCAUGGGUGGUGAAAAGGCGUGUGACCCGCGCUCUGUGCCAGCGAGGAAACCCCAAAGCCUCUGAAAUAUCCAACAGCAGCUGCUCGAAGGAGACCACACCCCUGCGGUUCAACAACACGGUAACCUGAAAGGACGAGAAAAUGAAUUCAGACCACAGGGCCGGACGACGGUGACCAGAUGGGGCCGCUCUGCGCUCUCCUCCGCGUGUCGUGUGUGAAAGAAAGGCAGG